GGACCCAUCAUGGGGCUUUGCCGGCGAGGUCUAAGCUAAAUACCUUAUUGCUUGCUUUUGAUUUAGAUAGAGCAAAUCUAGCUGAAUACCUUAUGCGUCGUCUUCCGAGCGGCAUCGAUCUGAGGAAGUGGAUGGCGUCGUGAGGUGAUGGCGGCGUGGAUGCGAGAAAUCCGCGAGGGCGAGGAUUGGGGACAGGAGCUACGACAUCGAUCCGAGGAAGUUGAUGGCGCCGUGAGGUGAUGGCGGUGUGGAUUCGAGAAAUCCGCGAGGGCGAGGAUUGGGGACAGGAGCUGCUCCGAGCAGCAUCGAUUCGAGGAAGUUCGCAAGGUGAUGGUGGCG
rnacentral:lncRNA from 1 species